rnacentral:rRNA from 1 species
GAUCAUGGCUCAGGAUGAACGCUAGCUACAGGCUUAACACAUGCAAGUCGAGGGGCAGCAUGGUCUUAGCUUGCUAAGGCCGAUGGCGACCGGCGCACGGGUGAGUAACACGUAUCCAACCUGCCGUCUACUCUUGGACAGCCUUCUGAAAGGAAGAUUAAUACAAGAUGGCAUCAUGAGUCCGCAUGUUCACAUGAUUAAAGUNUCGUCGAGA